rnacentral:rRNA from 1 species
ACUUUGAAGAGAGAGUUCAAAAGGGCGUGAAACCGCUUAGAAUAAAACGGACGGAGCCGUCUGAAGCCCUCGGGAAUCAGUCGAGCGACGCGCGAACGCGUUCGGGUAUUCGGAGCGUAAAAGUCCGGCUCGAGCGUCUAGUAGUUGCGUUCGUCAGGCGCAUUUCUCGAGGGUAAGCGUCGCGACCGAUGCGAAAGGCCGACGAGACCGUCAGGUUGAGGUCGAAAACCCCUCGCGGGGUAUUCGUUACCAACCAGUCGGUAAUAAUCGUGGGACCGUAGUAGGCAUCGAGCGUCUUCGGAAAGUAAAAGUCGGCGUAAAAUGCUCGUCAGAACGGCGGAGAGUCAGCCGAUUAAUCGACGUCUGCUCGCAGGCGUUCGGUUAACGCGAGGUUGUCUAUGAAGUCGUCGGCGAAGUACCGACUUUAAGGCGUCCGCGACGUCCGAGUCGGUCACCCGUCCGACCCGUCUUGAAACACGGACCAAGGAGUCUAACGUACGCGCGAGCUAAUGGGUGGAAAACCCAUAAGCGCAAUAAAAGUAAAAACCGUCUCUAGACGGUCGAGGUACGAUCCCGUCGUCAACGCACGAUCGGGCGCAGUACCGUCCCGUCCCGACCGCUCGUCGGUAGGGCGGAGACAGAGUGCAUACGUUGGGACCCGAAAGAUGGUGAACUAUGCCUGAGCAGAGCGAAGCCAGAGGAAACUCUGGUGGAGGUUCGUAGCGGUUCUGACGUGCAAAUCGAUCGUCAGACUUGGGUAUAGGGGCGAAA